rnacentral:rRNA from 1 species
UACAGAGGGUGCGAGCGUUAAUCGGAAUUACUGGGCGUAAAGCGUGCGUAGACGGUUAUUUAAGUCGGGUGUGAAAGCCCCGGGCUCAACCUGGGAAUUGCAUUCGAGACUGAAUAGCUAGGGUACGGUAGAGGGAAGUGGAAUUUCCGGUGUAGCGGUGAAAUGCGUAGAUAUCGGAAGGAACACCAGUGGCGAAAGCGGCUUCCUGGUCCAGCACCGACGUUCAGGCACGAAAGCGUGGGGAGCAAACAGG